rnacentral:misc_RNA from 1 species
GAUGAAGAACGCAGCGAAAUGCGAUAAGUAAUGUGAAUUGCAGAAUUCAGUGAAUCAUCGAAUCUUUGAACGCACAUUGCGCCCGCCAGCAUUCUGGCGGGCAUGCCUGUUCGAGCGUCAUUUCAACCCUCAAGCUCUGCUUGGUGUAGGGGCCCUACGGUUGACGUAGGCCCUUAAAGGUAGUGGCGGACCCUCUCGGAGCCUCCUUUGCGUAGUAACUAACGUCUCGCAUUGGGAUUCGGAGGGACUCUUGCCGUAAAACCCCCAAAUUUUCUAAUGGUUGACCUCGGAUCAGGUAGGAAUACCCGCUGAACUUAAGCAUAUCAAUAAGCGGAGGA